GAUUCCUUCGGAUUGAUAUCCUUGGUGACUGAGUGGCGGACGGGUGAGUAACGCGUGGGUAACCUGCCUCAUACAGGGGGAUAACAGUUAGAAAUGGCUGCUAAUACCGCAUAAGCGCACAGUACCACAUGGUACAGUGUGAAAAACUCCGGUGGUAUGAGAUGGACCCGCGUCUGAUUAGCUAGUUGGCAGGGUAACGGCCUACCAAGGCGACGAUCAGUAGCCGACCUGAGAGGGUGAUCGGCCACAUUGGGACUGAGACACGGCCCAAACUCCUACGGGAGGCAGCAGUGGGGAAUAUUGCACAAUGGGGGAAACCCUGAUGCAGCGACGCCGCGUGAAGGAAGACGUAUUUCGGUAUGUAAACUUCUAUCAGCAAGGAAGAUGAUGACGGUACUUGACUAAGAAGCCCCGGCUAACUACGUGCCAGCAGCCGCGGUAAUACGUAGGGGGCAAGCGUUAUCCGGAUUUACUGGGUGUAAAGGGAGCGUAGGCGGCCAUGCAAGUCAGAAGUGAAAGCCCGGGGCUCAACCCCGGGACUGCUUUUGAAACUGUAAGGCUAGAUUGCCGGAGAGGUAAGCGGAAUUCCUAGUGUAGCGGUGAAAUGCGUAGAUAUUAGGAGGAACACCAGUGGCGAAG
rnacentral:rRNA from 1 species